CGGAAGUUCACAGCUGCUAGGGAAAUGGCCUCCGCUGAAAUCGGCGUGUGUGGCUCCAUGACAUUUCCCAGCUUUAAUCAAUCAGUGGUGACUCCGCCCAGCUGGCCGCCCUCACCUUGGAUUGCGAGGCCUGCGGCCCCAUGGUGACACACGCAGACUCAACACUAAGACAGCCCAGGGCUCAAGAGAAUAUUAUGGCAAAAUGAACAACCAACUACAAGAACCCGAAAGCUAUGAAACAAAUUUCUUUCUCUAACUGCUCAAACACAGUCGAGAUUAAACUCCAAACAACCUGAGAUGUGAAACAUUUGAGUCCAUGUAUAUAAUUUUUUUCAUCAAAAAAUAAUAAAUAAAAAGCAUUCUAAACCUG